GUCCACGCCGUAAACGAUGUCGACUUGGAGGUUGUGCCCUUGAGGCGUGGCUUCCGGAGCUAACGCGUUAAGUCGACCGCCUGGGGAGUACGGCCGCAAGGUUAAAACUCAAAUGAAUUGACGGGGCCCGCACAAGCGGUGGAGCAUGUGGUUUAAUUCGAUGCAACGCGAAGAACCUUACCUGGUCUUGACAUCCACGGAAGUUUUCAGAGAUGAGAAUGUGCCUUCGGGAACCGUGAGACAGGUGCUGCAUGGCUGUCGU
rnacentral:rRNA from 1 species